UCUUCCCUCUUUCUUUCUGCUUAACACAUGCAAGUCGAACAGUACCUUCGGGUAUAGUGGCGGACGGGUGAGUAACGCGUGAGAAUCUAUCUUCAGGUCUGGGAUAACAGUUAGAAAUGACUGCUAAUACCGGAUGUGCCGAAAGGUAAAAGAACUAUUGCCUGAAAAAGAGCUCGCGUCAGAUUAGCUAGUAGGUGGUGUAAGAGACUACCUAGGCUUCGAUCUGUAGCUGGUCUGAGAGGACGAUCAGCCACACUGGCACUGAGACACGGUCCAGACUCCUACGGGAGGCAGCAGUGGGGAAUGUUCCGCAAUGGGCGAAAGGCUGACGGAGCAAUACCGCGUGAGUGACGAAGGCUCUUGGGUCGUAAACCUCUUUUCUCUAGGAAGAUUCAGACGGUACUUGAGGAAUAAGCAGCGGCUAACUCGGUG
rnacentral:rRNA from 1 species